UAAGUAGUGCGAUGCGGUUUA
rnacentral:siRNA from 1 species